rnacentral:rRNA from 1 species
UUGAAAGGGAAACGAUUGAAGUCAGUCGUACCUAUGGGUAAUCAGCCUUUUGGGUGUGAUUUUGUGGAGCGUGAGGAGUUAAACGCCUUCAUGCCUGCAUAUUCGUGCACGUUGGGUGUACUUGCCCGUAUGGUUGGUUAACAUCAAUUUUGGUGGUCAUAAAAUGACUGGAGGAAUGUAGCUUCGAUCUCGUAUUGAAGUGUUAUAGCCUUCGGUAGAUGUGAUGAUCGAGAUUGAGGAUUGCAACGGAUACCCUUCGGGGCUACCUGUCUGAUCUCUGAUCGUUGCUCUGGUGCCGAAAGCUUGCUUACGGUUAUCAAAGUCGAUGGUCAAUAGGUUAGAACGGGUUAAGUUCGUUAAGGAUGUUGACGUA